UACAGAGACUGCGAGCGUUAUUCGGAUUCACUGGGCGUAAAGGGUGCGCAGGUGGCUAGGUGUGUUAGGCGUGAAAGCCCGGGGCUUAACCCCGGAAUUGCGCCUAAAACUACUUGGCUAGAGCAUUGGAGAGGGGAGCAGAAUUCAUGGUGUAGCAGUGAAAUGCGUAGAUAUCAUGAGGAAUACCAGAGGCGAAGGCGGCUCCCUGGACAAUUGCUGACACUCAGGCACGAAAGCGUGGGGAGCAAAAGGG
rnacentral:rRNA from 1 species